GAUGAACGCUGGCGGCGUGCCUAAUACAUGCAAGUCGAGCGAACAGACGAGGAGCUUGCUCCUCUGACGUUAGCGGCGGACGGGUGAGUAACACGUGGAUAACCUACCUAUAAGACGGGGAUAACUUCGGGAAACCGGCGCUAAUACCGGAUAAUAUAUUGAACCGCAUGGUUCAAUAGUGAAAUACGGUUUUGCUGUCACUUAUAGAUGGAUCCGCGCCGCAUUAGCUAGUUGGUAAGGUAACGGGUUACCAAGGCAACGAGGCGUAGCCGACCUGAGAGGGGGAUCGGCCACACGGGAACUGAGACGCGGUCAAUACUCCUACGGGAGGCAGCAGUAGGGAAUCUUCCGCAAUGGGCGAAAGCAUGACGGAGCAACGCCGCGUGAGUGAUGAAGGUCUUCGGAUCGUAAAACUCUGUUAUGAGGGAAGAACAAAUGUGUAAGUAACUAUGCACGUCUUGACGGUACCUAAUCAGAAAGCAACGGCUAACUACGUG
rnacentral:rRNA from 1 species